rnacentral:rRNA from 1 species
CAGUGGCGAACGGGUGAGUAACACGUGAGCAACCUGCCCUGAACUCUGGGAUAAGCGCUGGAAACGGCGUCUAAUACUGGAUAUGAGCUGCGGAGGCAUCUUCGUGGUUGGAAAGAUUUUUCGGUUUGGGAUGGGCUCGCGGCCUAUCAGCUUGUUGGUGAGGUAAUGGCUCACCAAGGCGUCGACGGGUAGCCGGCCUGAGAGGGUGACCGGCCACACUGGGACUGAGACACGGCCCAGACUCCUACGGGAGGCAGCAGUGGGGAAUAUUGCACAAUGGGCGGAAGCCUGAUGCAGCAACGCCGCGUGAGGGAUGACGGCCUUCGGGUUGUAAACCUCUUUUAGCAGGGAAGAAGCGAAAGUGACGGUACCUGCAGAAAAAGCGCCGGCUAACUACGUGCCAGCAGCCGCGGUAAUACGUAGGGCGCAAGCGUUAUCCGGAAUUAUUGGGCGUAAAGAGCUCGUAGGCGGUUUGUCGCGUCUGCUGUGAAAUCUGGGGGCUCAACCCCCAGCCUGCAGUGGGUACGGGCAGACUAGAGUGCGGUAGGGGAGAUUGGAAUUCCUGGUGUAGCGGUGGAAUGCGCAGAUAUCAGGAGGAACACCGAUGGCGAAGGCAGAUCUCUGGGCCGUAACUGACGCUGAGGAGCGAAAGGGUGGGGAGCAAACAGGCUUAGAUACCCUGGUAGUCCACCCCGUAAACGUUGGGAACUAGUUGUGGGGUCCAUUCCACGGAUUCCGUGACGCAGCUAACGCAUUAAGUUCCCCGCCUGGGGAGUACGGCCGCAAGGCUAAAACUCAAAGGAAUUGACGGGGACCCGCACAAGCGGCGGAGCAUGCGGAUUAAUUCGAUGCAACGCGAAGAACCUUACCAAGGCUUGACAUACACGAGAACGCUGCAGAAAUGUAGAACUCUUUGGACACUCGUGAACAGGUGGUGCAUGGUUGUCGUCAGCUCGUGUCGUGAGAUGUUGGGUUAAGUCCCGCAACGAGCGCAACCCUCGUUCUAUGUUGCCAGCACGUAAUGGUGGGAACUCAUGGGAUACUGCCGGGGUCAACUCGGAGGAAGGUGGGGAUGACGUCAAAUCAUCAUGCCCCUUAUGUCUUGGGCUUCACGCAUGCUACAAUGGCCGGUACAAAGGGCUGCAAUACCGCGAGGUGGAGCGAAUCCCAAAAAGCCGGUCCCAGUUCGGAUUGAGGUCUGCAACUCGACCUCAUGAAGUCGGAGUCGCUAGUAAUCGCAGAUCAGCAACGCUGCGGUGAAUACGUUCCCGGGUCUUGUACACACCGCCCGUCAAGUCAUGAAAGU